UACAGAGGUCUCAAGCGUUGUUCGGAUUUACUGGGCGUAAAGGGCGCGUAGGCGGCAAUUCAAGUCAGCUGUGAAAUCUCCGAGCUUAACUCGGAACGGUCAGCUGAUACUGUUUUGCUAGAGUACAGAAGGGGCAAUCGGAAUUCUUGGUGUAGCGGUGAAAUGCGUAGAUAUCAAGAGGAACACCUGAGGUGAAGACGGGUUGCUGGGCUGAUACUGACGCUGAGGCGCGAAAGCUAGGGUAGCAAACGGGG
rnacentral:rRNA from 1 species